rnacentral:rRNA from 1 species
AUUGAACGCUGGCGGCAUGCUUUACACAUGCAAGUCGAACGGCAGCACGGACUUCGGUCUGGUGGCGAGUGGCGAACGGGUGAGUAAUACAUCGGAACGUGCCCAGUUGUGGGGGAUAACUACUCGAAAGAGUAGCUAAUACCGCAUGAGAACUGAGGUUGAAAGCAGGGGAUCGUAAGACCUUGCGCAACUGGAGCGGCCGAUGGCAGAUUAGUGUAGUUGGUGGGAUAAAAGCUUACCAAGCCGACGAUCUGUAGCUGGUCUGAGAGGACGACAAGCAACACGGGGACUGAGACACGGCCCAGACUCCUACGGGAGGCAGCAGUGGGGAAUUUUGGACAAUGGGCGAAAGCCUGAUCCAGCAAUGCCGCGUGCAGGAUGAAGGCCUUCGGGUUGUAAACUGCUUUUGUACGGAACGAAAAGCUUCGGGCUAAUACCCUGGAGUCAUGACGGUACCGUAAGAAUAAGCACCGGCUAACUACGUGCCAGCCGCCGCCGUAACAC